rnacentral:lncRNA from 1 species
ACACAGUCCACACAUCAAGCUAAGCAUAACAUCAUCCAUUCACAUUCAAUAUCCUAACUACACUAAGUAGCCAAUCAUGUUAUACAUUUAGAAGACACCUUCUAACUAUCACAACAUGUUCACUACCUAACACAUCCCUAACCUAAAUAACUCAUAAAAGGUAUAACUCCUAACCAAUCACCUAACUACUUGUCCAACUGUCUAAUAGAAAACUAGUUCGACCCUAACUGUCUAACAAAAAAUUAGAUAUAACCUAACUAACUAACAUAGUUUCAGUUCAG